rnacentral:lncRNA from 1 species
CACAGGGAAUUAGCAUGGAAAUAAAGUGAAAAGUCGGACACAGCCAGGUAUGUACCUGUCUAUGCAAAAGCACACAUCGGUGCUUGAUAAUCUUGAACUGAUCCUCCAAAUCAGCUGUCCAUCCUGUCCUCCCUACUCUGUCCCUGUACCCAGGAGGCUGAUCUCUGAAGUCAACACCCAUGGGCUACCUCGCCCCCAACUUGGUUAGUUUUACUGGCAGGAAACCAAAGAGAGGUCAGGUAAGAUAUCCGCAUGAGAGAGUCAGAGGUUUUAAGGAAUUGCCUUUGGCCACUGUGGGGGCUGCAAGCCUGAGAUCUGCAGUGCAGGUUGCACACCGGUGAUAGUUGGUGUGACCUUCAGUAAGAAAACAGUCUGAGGCCAAACUCUGUCCUCCUCGGAGGAAUCUCUGUUUUUUUCCUAUUGAGGCUUCAAAUUGACUGGAAGAGACCCGCCCACGUUAUGGAGGUUAAUCUGCUUUACUUAAGGUCUGCUGAUUUAAAUAUUAAUCACAUCUUAAAAAUAUCUUCACAGCGACAUCAAGACUGGUGUUUGAUCAAAAUCUGGUUUUGAGGCCCAGCCAAGUUGGCUCAUAAAGUUAACCAUCACAAAUAUUUAUUGCCCCUGCUUCUUCCCUAUCAGGUGCAAAUUGGUACUGAAUGCCUCCUUGGGGGGCCCUGACCAGCUGUCCUCUUGGUCUUCAGGCACAGGCCUGGAAGCAGUGAUCUAUUGUUGCUAGCUCCUGGCUGCUUCCUUAAUCCUUGUGCUUCUGUCAACCCUGACUACAGCUUUGUAAACAGUUCCUUCAUUGGACACUCUUCAAUUAUCCCACUCUGGUAUUUUAUUUCUUUCCUAUAAGCAUCCCAUCAAUGAAUCUGUGCCACCUUAGAGUUGAUAAUCAAAAAAAAAAAAAAAGAGUCAGCAUGGAGGCACACGCCUCUAACCCCAGCAGCUCAGGUGGCCAAGGCAGGAGGAUCACAAGUUUGAGGCCAGCCUCAGCAAUGUAGCAAGGAUCUAAACAACUCAGUGAGACCUUGUCUCUAAAUAAAAUAUUUUGAAAAGGGCUGGGAAUGUGGCUCAGUGGUUAAGUGUCCCUGGAUUCAAUCACUGGUACCAAAAUAAAUAAAUAAAUAGAUAAAUAGAAACUCAAGUCUCCAGACAAUUUAUAAGCUCAAGAAAUGGCAUCCAUGAUUUCAGAGAUGUUAUUGGUCAUCUCUGUCAUCUCAGGAGUUUUCGAAUACUAUCUCUCUGCCUGGGACAAUAUAUUUGGCUUCUUACAUACCCAGCUCUACCAUUCUCUGAACCCCAAGGACUGAUUAGCAUUUUCCCAUCUGCCCUCCGUAGUAGUCCCCUCUGAAGGGUUCACCAGAUGGGUAAAAUCUGGUCAUCACUACCGUCCAGCACAAUUCCUAGCAACAUUCUUCCUGAGGGCGAGACCCAGCUUGUUCACCUCAUUAUCCUCCUCAUUAUCCCUAGUACUCCGCCCAGUGCCAGCCCUCACUACUAAUAAUAGUAACAACUAUCAUAUUUAUAGCUAAGGUACUAAUCUGGGUAGCUUAGAACAACAGAAACUUGUCACAAAGUUCUGAAGUUAAACAAAAUCCAGGUGUUGGCAGGGCCACCUCCCUUCUGAAACCCCUUAGGGAAUCCUUCCUAGCUUUUGGUGGUAUUGUUAAUACUAGGUAUUCCUUGGUCUGCAGUGUGUGAUUGCAAUCUCUUCCUGUGUCUUGCGUGGCCUUCUCCCUGUGAGUCUGUAUCUUCACAUGGCAUUUUCCUCUUAACAGGUGCACCUGUCAUGUUGGCUUACAACCUUCCCUGAUAGCCUUCUUUUAACUUGAUUACAUCUACCAAUAAGGUCAUUUUCACAGGUACAAAGAGGACUUCAGCAUAACCUCUUAGAGGUCAUAAUUUAAUCCAUUACAUUGAGAGCUGAGUGUGGGCAGGCACUAUUCUCAGUGUUUCCCAUCCAUUAAUUCCUUUACAUAAUGCCCUUGUAAGAUAAGCACAAUUACCCUGCCCAGGGUUGGAAUUUAGGCAAAGAGAAGUGUUGCCCCAAGUUUAAAUUGUACAAACUUGAUAAGUAGAGGAGGCAGAACGCUCCUUCCCAUCCUUCUUAUUUCCUUCUCCUUUUCCUUUAUGAAUAAUUUUAAAGCUAAAUUUUAGGAAUUACAUAGAUAGUGCUCCUCGAACUUUAAUGUGCCUAUGAAUACUGGGAUCUUAUACCAGUACAGACUCUACCUCAGUUGGUCUGAGAUUCCAUCUUCCUAACCAGCUAUGGGGGCCCACUGCUGCUUCUGGUCUAUAGACAUACUUUGAUUGGCAAGACCACUUGGUCUCUAAGGACUAGUCAUAUCAGAAUCAUUUAGGGGUAUUUUUUUUGGAGGGGGAUACCAGGGAUCAAACUCAGGGGCAUUCAACCACUGAGCCACAUUCCCAACCCUUUUUGAUAUUUUAUUUAGAGACAGGGUCUCACUGAGUUGCUUAGCACCUCGCUUUUGCUGAGGCUGGCUUUGAAUGUGUCAUCCUCCUGCCUCAUCCACCCAAGCCACUGGUCAUUUAGGGGUAUUUUUUUAACUAUUAAUUUUCCAGAACUCUUUUUUUUAAAGAGAGAGAGAGAGAGAGAGAGAGAGAGAGAGAGAGAGAGAGAGAGAAUUUUUUAAAUAUUUAUUUUCUAGUUUUCGGCAGACACAACAUCUUUCUUUUAUGUGGUGCUGAGGAUCGAACCCUGGAGGCACGCAUGCCAGGCGAGCGCGCUACCGCUUGAGCCACAUCCCCAGCCCCUUUCCAGAACUCUUUUAAACCUAUUGACAGAUUCUCAGAGGAGAAUGAGAAUCUGUAUUUUAAGGGAAGGGAUUCUGAAGGGCAUUCAAGUUUUCAGACUACUGACCUAGGAAAACUAUAUGUUGAUUGGAAUUGGCCUGUUAUAAUGUCUUUUCCUAUUAGAGCAUUUUUAUUAAGUGAUGGCAAUUAGAACAUUUAGAAUUAAUUGGGUAACUCUAUUUAAAAAAAGUCAACUGAGAGGCAGUCCCUUAAGUGGGUGGUCUGACCCUGUCCUGGGCAAGAUUACAUGUGUUGACAUAAAAAAUUGUACACUUAUCAAAGUUGUAGAUGGUAAAUGGCUGGGCAAGAAAAUUAAUGUGAUUGCUAAAAGAAAGCCAAAGUUUUUUUUAUGUAAAUUUUAAAAUUUAAUUAUGACAUCAGAAUGUGUUACAAUUCUUAUUACAUAUAUGGAGCACAAUUUUUCAUAUCUCUGGUUGUAUGUAUAGUGUAUUCACACCAAUUUGUGUCUUCAUACAUGUACUUUAGAUAGGUGGCAUAUAUACACAAUGGAAUUUUACUCAGCAAUAAAAGAGAAUAAAAUCAUGGCAUUUACAGGUAAAUGGGUGGAGUUAGAGAAGAUAAUACUAAGUGAAGUUAGCCAAUCCCAAGAAAACCAUCCAAAGUUUAAAAGAGGCUCAGUAGGCUACAGCAUACUCUGAAAGCAGUAGCUUUAGGAGUAAUCAUAGUAAGCUAUAGUCUUACAUCAGGUUUAGAAAAUGAAUGUAGAAGCAAAUGAUGGUGAAAACCUGACUUGAAAUUAUUGAUGUAAAAAGAAUCUAGAGAGUUUAGUUGAUCACUAACUCAUUAUAAACCAACAGUAGAAUGCAAUUACCAUUCUGUGUCUUCAGAACAAGGGGGUGGCAAUCUCAACUUUUCUACCUGGUGAGAGCAGGGCAGGUAUAUCAUGUUUACUUUGAGAUGCCAUGUAUUAGGAGUGGCAUUGGAUUGUGCCUUGUGGAGAAAGAUCAGACUGGUGGGGAAAUUGUAAUUCACUGCCCCCAGAAACAGGAUGGAAGAAAUUGAUACUACUUUGGAAGAGAGAAGUCAAAAUACUACUAGAUCCAGGCAAGGUGGCUCAUGCCUGUAAUCCCAGUGGCUCAGGAGGCUGAGAAUUGCAAGUUCAAAGCCAGCGUCAGCAACUUAGCCAGGCCUAAGCAACUUAGUGAGGCCCUGUCUCAAAAUACAAAAUAAAAAAAGGGCUGGGGAUGUGGCUCAAUGGUUAAACACCCCUGGGUUUAAUUCCCAGUACCUCCCUCCAAAAAAAAAAAAAAACCCUGAAAAUUUGGGAACUAAGUGUCUACAGACAAUGACCUCUUUCUAAGUGGGCUCAAAGAAGCAGAAGCAGGAUAGGUGGCUGGAAAUUGCAAGGAGACAAUGUUUAAGUCAGCAUUCAUAGAAGAAUGUUCUAAGGCUCUAUCUGACUGAAGUGGAAGGAGACAUUUGAGGAAGGAUUCGUUUCUGUGUCCCUCUAGGUGUGUUAGGAGCUGUGCUAUAGAAAGGAGUCUUUUCACUUUGGAGGCUGGGCCAGCUGUGCUCUUACACAUGCCCAGAUGAAAAGCAUUGGUUAUCCCAAUAAUGUGUAGGAAAUGACCUACUUAUGUGUUACCAAGUAGGUCAUCUCCCAGAGGGGUUUUCCUUUCCUCUUUCUUAAAAACAGAAAAAAUUAUGGGCACCCUUCAAAUCCUUAUUGAAGGUAGUUUGAUAUUGCUGAAAAUAAUAUUUUGGCAUAAUAAGAAUUUUCAUUAUUUCAUUCAUUUUAUUCAAUAUAUGUUUAUUGAGCACCUAGUAUCGACAAUAAUUUGUAGAGAUAGUAGCUAACACAUAUUUAUAGAGAAGCAAACUGAGUCACAGUGACAUUAAGAGAUCUCAGAGAGGGACAGAGGCAGGAUUUGAACCUGACAGCCUUGCUCUAGGAUUGUUGCUCCUCUCUCUCUCUCUCUCUCUCUCUCUCUCUCUCUCUCUCUCUCUCUCUCAUAUUGUUGGUUGAACCCAGGGGCACUCUACCAUGGAGCUACAUCCCCAAUUCUAUAUAUAUAUAUAUAUAUAUAUAUAUAUAUGUAUUUUUUUUUGAGACUGGGUCUCACUAAGUUGCUGAGGGGCUCAUUAAGUUGCUGAGGCUGCUCAAACUUAGGAUCCUCCUGCCUCAGCCUCCUGAGUUGCUGGGAUUACAGCCAUGUACCUCUGUGCCCAGCUAGGGUUGUCAUUCUUAACAACUAUAUCAACUCUCUGUUUCAUGCAAUAUAGUCUCAGAGCUGACUAUCCACUAACUGGGAGAUCAAACUCGCACGUGACUGAGUUAACUUCCUGCUGGGAUAUGGCGUUAGGUACCCAUGCUGCUAGACUGCCCCGCUCUUCUGGGGUUCGAGUACUGGUGACUGUCUUCACGCCAGGGCGUGUCUUCCUACAGCCCCAUGGGUGGAGCUAUGCUCACCUGUUCCUUUGUAAUAUUACCCUUUGCCCUGUUUAGGAUAGAAUGUUCAAUGGAAGUGCCUUGUGUGUGUCCCCUUCUCUUACUGUGGCCUUGGGUGUGGCCUACCCAGGUGUCAGUCAACCUGCUGACAGUGGAUAUCACGAAGAUAGACUCAGCCCCCUGAAACCUGACCCCUUGCCUCAUUUGAAUAGCUUCUUCUCAAUAAAAGGGGUCAGCGCAUGUGCGCGCUCUCUCUCUCUCUCUCUCUCUCUCUCUCUUUCUGUGGACCCUUAAGGUCAGAGGAGCUGUCACAGUGACCCCAAAGAAAAAGGUAUUUGUGUCUCUUGUGUGUUAUUUUGUGCAGCCCAGUUAGCCCAGUUCAACUGGAGUGACCCCUGAGCCUUUUAGUCGCGAACAGAAACUUGGCAACUAACCAUAAUGCCUACAACCUCACAAUACUUUAUAGGGCCCAUAAAAAUGUCUGAUUUCUUUUAAAUCAGGAGAAAGAGAAAUGAGCUUAGAGUUAAGAGAAUGUUUUUUGCUUUUUCUCACACCAGAAAAAAAUGUAAAACCAUUAUGGUGAGAGAGGCUGUGAAGGAAAAGUGCACCCAUGAAAGUCAAUAUGUGGCCAGAGCAGCUCAUACAGGGAAUUUUGAAACGUGAUUUUCGGGAAAGGUAGUAUUUUAACUGGGCUAGUGCUCUUCCAACCUUUGAAGUGGUACAAAGGAAAAGGGAUUGAUGGACAGGUCACUCCACGUGCAGGUAAGGGGCCCGGAGAUAGGGCAGUAUUAAUCCAGUGGUGUGAGUGGGGCAAGUCAGACAUGACCUACUUAAAUUGCUUACUGGACAUCUAGAGAGCAGUGAGGGAAAGCAGUUUGAAUUAGGGCAAAAGAGCCCAGAGUCCAUUUUGUCCUGGAAGAGACCAUCUUGUCCCAAAAGGGAAAUGAUUGCUGGGGAGGCGGGUGCACGGAGCCUGGGAGGUGUGCUAGAGAAGAGGAAUCCUUGUCUUCUCUGAUCUUUUGAGUUGUUAACCUCUAGACAGCGUUCACACUCUCAGUGCUAUGCUCUAGGGCCUUUUAUGUCUGUAAAUUCUCCUCCUAGGAUAUUCUGUCACUGAGCAAAUCAAAUUUCCUGAGCUGGUCUCCUUCCUUACCUGUAUUUCCAUUUCCCAGAUGUGUUUUAUCUCUGCAUUACCAGGAGAGUAACUCCCCCUCUUCUUACUUACCAGCCCAGGGUGAAUGUUAUUUCCUGACAAGCAGUUUAGAUGCCAAAAUAGUGCUGGGGACUAAAACACAACAAAAACCCACAACUAUUUUUUUAACAGUCUUAUUAAGAUAAAAUUGAGCUUAAAUUAGCUAUAAUUCAUCCAUUUAAAGUGUAUAUCAGGUGGUUUACAUCAAAAGAUUUUCCCUGGCCCUGAAUUUUUCCAGGGUAUCUUUGCUUAUAGAUAAGGAGUAUUUCCCGCAAGGGAUGGGAAGGGGAGAUCAACUAAACUUCUACUAAAUAGGAUAGAAUUUGUGUACUUAUAGACAGGAAUUAUGUUGUAUUUUAGUCCGUUGCCUACAAACUACAAAGUUGUUAAAACUGCUUCCCUAGAUUCAGAAUCAGACAGCUCAAAGGGGUGUCUUUUAGAGUCUAGAAUAUACCCUUGGCACACUUUGAUUCUUUAUCAGCCUUUCCUUGUAAUAUUUGAUGAUGAUGAUGGUGAUAAUGGUGGUGAUAGCUGAGUGACUACUCUGUAUAGGUACUGAGGCAGGAUUAGGGACCCUUGUCACCUCUCAUGUCACCUCUAUCAGUAGAAGUGAUGUGAGGCUAAGAAUUUCCCUUUCAUCCUACACUGUUGCAGUUACUGGAAGAACUAACUUCCCCUAAAAACAAGAUCCUGUUUUUCAAAAAGAUUGUGGACCAUCCCUAGGAACGUGUAUAAAGACUCUCAAGUUUGACCUGUAGUAACCUAGAAGGGAAAAUCUCCUACUUAAUACCUCAUACGUAUUAGUUGCAUCUCAUAUAUCUAAUGUAAAACCCAGGAAAGAGCAUUUGGCACAUGCACCACAGGCAUUAUGGGCAAGGCACAGGAAUCUGUUGACCAUCCUUCAUUUAGCAUAACCCACCUAGCAAAAAGCCUGCCAAAGGAGAACUAAGAACUCAGAAACAUAUCUAAGCCCAGACCCCUUCUGAGUUUGAGGGCAGAUGUCUUUGUUAUGUCCCUGCUGCCAGGAUGCAGCAUAGUUUCCUCCAAUGAACUCUCUUAACUGCUUCCCUUUGUCUUGGAGAAUUCUUCCUACCACCUGUGCACUGGCCAUCACCCAAGUCCCAUGACAAGUCCCUAAAUGCUUUAAAAAACAUUUUAUUUAAUACUUGCAAGAACUUUAUGAGGUACUUAUAAUCAUCCUCAUUUUACAGAUAAUAAAACUGUAAAGAGAGAAGAAAAGCAAAGAGAGAAAGCAAUAUGCCUAAGUCAGUUCAGCAGGUGGAACAGGAUUCAAAGCCAGGUAGGAUGCCAAAGUCCUUCUCUUUUUCAGAAGGCUAUCCUUGGAUCUGCUUGACUUUGGGCUCCUUUUGUCUCUCGAGGUGAGUCUGCCAUCAGUAGGUCCAACUUUAGGCAAGAUCAAGACUUACAGGAUAUUCAACAACCCUGAGUCCCACUGUUUCCAGUCUUUUGUGCCAGUUUUGGCAACUGGGCUCCUGUCAAUGAUCAUGUCAUUGCCUAGUCCCCACUUCCAGGCAAGGCAUCAUAUUUAGUUGCUACUGUCCUUGACCCACCUAUACCUCUAUUCCUGCAUCAGGUAUAUCAGCUCUUCCAGAACUAAGAUUGCUCAUUUUUUCCAUUCUCAAUUUUUCAGGAACUCAAGUUUUGUCCAUUUACCUCUUCCUGGAUUCUGAGUUUGCCUGCUGACCUGGGCUUCCUCAUUUUAUGUAGUACCUGUGAGUGUAUUUCUCCCAGAUUUAGCCUUCCUCCUUCCAAAACAGCCCUUCUUCUUAGACUCUCAUCUCUUGUGUUAAAAUUAAAAUGUAGAUAUUUCUAAUUUGCUACCUUUCUCUCCUUGAAAACAUAGUAAUACCAUGGUAUUAAAAACAAACACCAUGCUUGAGUAUCUGCUUGCCCCUUCUCCCCACUUGGUACCAGCCAAAGACUUGAAGGGAGAGAAGGGGGAAGGGGCGGAGACAAUACUACCCUUUAUCCUCUUGUUGUCCAUUUCUACCUCUCCUCAACAGGAGGCCCCACUUGUCACCCACUCUCAGCUCCAUUGUCCUCAGGGCCACCACACACUACAGAAAGAAAUGGUUAUUGGCAUCCAAAAGACAAGCAGGAAAAUAAUUUCAGCUUCUAUGCAACCACAGGGCUAGAGCUUAGGAGAUAAAUCUUGGAAUUUUCUCAGUUCUGGAAACUUCUUUUGGGCCAACUGAAGCUAGACCAACUUUUCCAACCUCAGGCCCACUCUUGCCAGUAGAUUAAAAAUCACUUUAAUUCCUAACUACCUCUCAGUUCAUAAGUAGAACUCUCUUUUGUAGGCCAGAACAAUAAGGAAACCAGAUCUUUGUCAGGAAAGAUAGCUUCCAGCAAAUUCUUCAUACCUUUCCAGCAGAGCUAAAUGGCUAUUUCUCUGUAACAUUUUUCUUGUCCCUCAGUUUAAAUGAUUCCUUUCUCCCUUCAUGUUUCAGAAAACUUUGUUGAAAAAACACUUUUCAAAGUUGGUUUUUAUCACUAAAUUGUGAGCUCCUGAUUUGACUGUUUUUGUUUCCCCAGUACAGUGUAAUCCAGAGGAAGAACUCAGGAGUGAAUGAACUUGGAAAGACAGAAGUUAGACUGGAAUUGGAAAAAAGACACAAUCAGUAGAGAUGUCAUUUAGACCCUGACACCAGUGUUUCUAUAAGAGUGAUGGAUUCUGAUACAAUACAGGGAAAUGAUCUUUGAAUAUGUGAUAGAAUUUUUAAAAAAUGUUUUGCAUGGGGCAGCCAACAGAUGGUCCAUAUCCUUGAGACUCAACUCUUGAUUUUGGGGGGUAGGGGGCAGUGGGUGCUAAGAAUUGAACCAGGGCCUUGUACAUGCUAAGCAUGCAUUCUACCGUGGAGUUACAGCCUCAAGCCUAUACGCAUGCGCACGCGCGCACACACACACACACACACACACACACACAAAUAUGUAUAUAUAUAGAACAUACACAUAUUUUUUAAAAUAAUUUUAUGGUUACAAAAAUAGACUUACUUUCCAUUCUAUAAAAGAGGAUGAUAAGUUCUAUUAUGUUUGUUAUAUACUUUCCUCAUAUUAGAAUUACUUCUUAUAUAUUAAGAAUUUUUAGGAGUAUUUCUUUAAGAAUUUAGGAGAUUAUGAUCAAAUAGCAUAUGUCUACCUACAUACUCAAUUUUAAUCUAUAUUACAAAUUGAUUUGAUUUUUUAAUUUGCACAAGGACUGAGAUAAGAGUUCACUUAUGGGCAGUAUCCUUCAAAGGGACAGUGUGGGUUGAAAAACCCCAAGGAGAACUUAAUUUUAAGCAAUUUUGGAUGCUCCCAGGUGCCCAGAAGCAAAUACAAAUGUUUCCUAGAGAAUGUGCCCUCAGGGGACAUUCACACAACUCUCACAGCACAACGUGGGCUCACAAUUUAAAGAAAAAAGAUAAUCAAGGAACACUUGAAGAAUACUACCAUGAAUAAGUGACAGCAGAAACACCAAAUGAUAAAAGCACCCCCAAAAAGACUUCAGAUGUUAGAAUCACUGGAUAAAACAUUUAAUAUGCUGACAGAGAUAAAAGUGAUGGCAAAAGAACAGGAAGGGGGCUGGGGUUGUGGCUCAGUGGUAGAGGGCUUGCCUAGCAUAUGUGAGGUACUGGGUUCAAUUCUCAGCACCACAUAUAAACAAAUAAAGUCCAUUGACAACUAUAUAUAUAUAUAUAUAUAUAUAUAUAUAUAUAUAUAUAUAUAUAUAUAUAUAAAAGAACAAGAGGGUAUAAAAAUGUCCAGUUUUGAGCAUGGGGUUAGAAAUGAUGGUAGAAUAAGAUGGACAUCAUUAUCCAAAGUACAUGUAUGAAGAUACAAAUGGUGUGAAUAUACUUUGUAUACAGAGAUAUGAAAAAUUAUGCUCUAUAAGUGUAAUAUGAAUUGUAAUGCAUUCUGCUGUCAUGUGUAACAAAUUAGAAUUUAAAAAAUAUCCAGUUUUGAAAAAGAAUCAAAUGGUACUUCUAAAGCUGAAAGAUAUUAAAGUUGAGAUAAAAAAGAACCCAAAUGGAAGCAUUAAAAAGCAGUAUAGCUCUGGUGCUAAAACCAGGAAGACCUAAAUGAAAGACUGUUCAUCCAGAGUUUGCUAUAUAGCAAGGAGUUGGCUGCCAUGGCUUGAGUUUGGUAGAGACAUUAAAGCAAGCAUGGGCAUGGAAAAGCUUUAUAGCGACCAAAAGUGAAGUUUCCAGCUGUCCUCUGACACCAGGAGUCAUUGGCUCGGGGAAGCUAGAGGUGGACUAGCUAGAAGUGAGCCUUAUAUGUAAUUGGUUCAGGGUGCACAUCUGGCCUUCUCUGCUUGGUCUGCUUAGUGCUCAGUGAGAAGCCAGAGUAAAAAAUGGGAACAUCGGUGGUCAGUGAGCAAGUCUUGAAAGUUUGGACAGAUUGCUGUGGAGGUUGCAGUUUGCCUUCCUGGGCUUCACACGUGGGUCAGAAUCCCAUUACCACAAGGGCUCUGGCCUUGCCUUUUGUGUAUUCAGUCUCUAUCUAGGCAGAGUUGGUUAACUGGAAAACUUAUCUGAAAAAAAAAAAUGACUCAGAAUGAAGCCCAGAGAGAUAAAUGUAUGUCUUAUCAUAUUUCUAGAAGAAAUAGAGAAGAGAAUGGGGAAUAUAAACUAUUCAUAGAUAUAAAGACUGAAGUUUUUUCAGGAAUGAAUGAUUCAGAUUUAAAACCUCAACAAGGCUGGCCACAGUAGUACAUGCGACUGAUCCCUGCUACUAGGGAGGCUGAGGCAGGAGGAUUGCAAGUUCAAGGCCAGCCUGGGUAACUUAUUGAUGAGGUUAGGUGGAAGAGAUAAGGCUAGGCAGAUAGGGAAAUGUGCCCCUGGGCAACUUCCUGGACAGUAGAGCACAAAUAACAGCUGUAAGUUUUUGCUGAGAAACUUACAAAAGGUUAUUUUUAAAUUGGGAUCUACGUGACCUGGAGUCCAUAGGAAUUCAGGACAUAGGUGACCUGGAGUCCAUGCCUCUCCAAAGAAGGAAGACACCUGAUCAAUACUUUGAUUAUCUAAAGGCUGUAUGAAUACCUUGUGAACACUGAGUGCUUGCCCAAUAUUGGGAAGGGAGCUGACUUUCUUAAGUCCAUAGAUCCAUAUAAACCCCUAGACAAUAGCCAUUCACUGGCAAUCUUCUCAGGUCCCCUUCCAAGGUGGGAGCUUUGCUUCACUUUGUUUCAAUACAUUCCUGUACUUUGCCUUUGCCCGCUGCUGGCGAAGAAUCUCAUUCUUUGAAUCUGCAAAAAAUCACCCAACCCCACACUCUGUGCUACAAUGAGACCCUGUCUCAAAAUAAAAUAUAAAAAGGGCUAGAAAUGUGGCUCAGUGGUAGAAUGCCCCUGGGUUCAAAAUAAGUCAGUAAAUAAAUAAAUUCCAAUCAACUGAAAUAAAUACGGAUAAAUACAAAUAAACAUUGCCUAUAGAAAAGAUAAAUUAAUGUGUCUUUUUUUUGAGGGGGGAAUGCUGGGUAUUGAAUUCAGGGUCUUUUGUAUAUAAGGCAAGUACUCUACCACUGAGCUACAUCCCAGAUGCUGAUGUAUCAUUUUAGGGGUAAAAAAAAAAGUAAAAAUAAAAGGUUGAACAAUAAUAAUACAUAACCCAGAGGAAGCUGUUUUGAGUCAGGUUUGCUAAAGUUCUCUUUAAAGAGAAAUAUGUUAUUCCAUUUAUACUUCAAGUGUGCAUAUUAAAUUCCAAGGGUAACCACCCAAAUGAUACAAAUGAAAUCUAUAUGCUCCAAACCCAUAAAGAUCAGAAAAAUGGAAUGAAAAAAAAAUUUAAUCCAAAAUAAGUCCAGAAAGAACAAAAAAAGCAAGGCCAAUUGAGCACAAAAAAAUAUGAAUAUAAAAUGGAAAAAAAAUAAACUCAAAUCAGUAAUUGCCAAAAAAGUCAAUGGUAUACACUUCUCAAUCAAAAGUCAUGGACACUUAGAAUGUAUUAAAAAACAAAAUCCUGAUAUGGUAUUUUCAAAAGGUGAAACUAAAACAGUAUCAUUCCCUUAUAAUAAACUUGACUGUUGUAUAAUGACUUUCAGUGGGUUCUCUGGGUCCUUCUAGUGAAAUUUUGAACCUGAGUCUAGUUUUGUGACACCCCGCCCCCACACACACUCUGACCUGCCACAAAGUUGCAAUUGAUGUCAGAAAC